GGGCCCGCACAAGCGGUGGAGCAUGUGGUUUAAUUCGACGCAACGCGAAGAACCUUACCCAGACUUGACAUGCAUUAGACGGGUGUGGAAACACACCUUCCCUUCGGGGCUGGUGCACAGGUGCUGCAUGGCUGUCGUCAGCUCGUGUCGUGAGAUGUUGGGUUAAGUCCCGCAACGAGCGCAACCCUUGUCCUUAGUUGCUAACGGGUAAUGCCGAGCACUCUAAGGAGACUGCCGGUGAUAAACCGGAGGAAGGUGGGGAUGACGUCAAGUCCUCAUGGCCCUUACGUCUGGGGCUACACACGUGCUACAAUGGCCGGUACAAAGGGUUCCGAUACCGCGAGGUGGAGGCAAUCCCAAAAAACCGGUCUCAGUUCGGAUUGCAGUCUGCAACUCGACUGCAUGAAGUCGGAAUCGCUAGUAAUCGCUGAUCAGCAGGCAGCGGUGAAUACGUUCCCGGGCCUU
rnacentral:rRNA from 1 species